rfam:Achromatium sp. WMS3 contig-199_564, whole genome shotgun sequence.
CCUGGCGGCCAUAGAGUAUUGGAACCACCUGAUCCCAUCCCGAACUCAGAAGUGAAACGAUACCUCGCCGAUGAUAGUGUAGGAGAUCCUAUGCGAAAGUAGGUUACCGCCAGGA